rnacentral:piRNA from 1 species
UGACUGCGAUGGGGUGGAGGCCCGUGG